rnacentral:rRNA from 1 species
UGGGGAAUAUUGCACAAUGGGCGAAAGCCUGAUGCAGCGACGCCGCGUGAGGGAUGACGGCCUUCGGGUUGUAAACCUCUUUCAGUAGGGACGAAGCGCAAGUGACGGUACCUGCAGAAGAAGCACCGGCUAACUACGUGCCAGCAGCCGCGGUAAUACGUAGGGUGCGAGCGUUGUCCGGAAUUACUGGGCGUAAAGAGCUCGUAGGCGGUUUGUCACGUCGUCUGUGAAAUCCUAGGGCUUAACCCUGGACGUGCAGGCGAUACGGGCUGACUUGAGUACUACAGGGGAGACUGGAAUUUCUGGUGUAGCAGUGGAAUGCACAGAUCUCAGGAAGAACACCGAUGGCGAAGGCAGGUCUCUGGGUAGUAACUGACGCUGAGGAGCGAAAGCAUGGGUAGCGAACAGG